ensembl:lncRNA
AUCCAGUCAGGGUUCUGGUUCUCUCUGCCCCUCCCCCAGUUUGUCCCCUGUGAGGAUAGGAAACGGGAGUGUGGUUCAUGUUUUCCCUCUCUAGUAGGAUGCAUGUUUUUGUUUAAUUUGUGUUGAGUCGCAUGAUAACGUACAGUAGGAAUGAAUAUUCGGGAUUCUGUUUCAACUUUGUGCGUCUGCAGCAGCGUCUGUUCAGAGCUCCAUGAGCUUCCUGUCUGUAGGACUGAACCUCCUGUUACCACGGCAGCCUCAUCGAUAUUCUGGCAGAGGAAACCAUCAGGGUGUUUAAAACAAUCGAUACCCCGGCGUCUGCGUGUGUCACAAGGCCCUGAAACCCAAUGUCUGUCUCGGUGUUGUCACAACACAGGUAUCGCUGGUAAAAUGAGGUCACUACACACACGGAAAGUCCCGAGGGCCAACAACAACAAACAAAAGCUGCAGCCUGUUUUUUCCACUGCUCGACCCCCACUGUGUCGCUCGCUCGCCACGUGGCUGCGACCGGCCCACUCCAAUCUCAUGUCGGCAGCUGUGCACAGAGAUGCUUUCAGCUAGAAGAGGUUGAAUACAAUCAAAAUAGUAAUACAUGGAUAGAGACAGACUAAAACACAUGCAUUCUCAUCUCUGGUCUUGUAAUACUCGCCCCUGCUCUUCCUCUGAGAGGAAUCACUGUUGUCCUCUCGAUACACCGGGCACAGGGACAUGACCAUGACCAAAUUUAUGUCACUCCCAAGCAGAUGUUUGCAUACCGAUAGGUGUGAAAACUGUAACACUCGUUUGUGUCUCCUAACUCGACACUCCGACAGGCUCGUAUUAGACAAAACCCGCCCACCCUGGGUUCAUCAGCAAGUUAAAAUUGAGCACAACUAACUUCCCUGCUGUGCAGAUGUAUAAUUUGGGCUUCUUAGGGUAUUUGCUUAAAGAGAAAACAUUUCCUUCAGAGGAUGGAGGAAUAUUAACCUUUUAGUUUGUUCAAGGAAAAGUUUAGGUAAAGCAUUUCAGAUCUUAUUUAGUCUUCUAUCCAUUUCCUGUCAGAGGUCAGGUUGUACUCUCGGUGCUUCAUGUCUGGAUCCAUGAAUGUAGGUUUGCCACAAAGUUUAGUUUUGCUAUCAAUGAAUCUAAAGCAUUUUAAGCCCGUGGGCAGCUCACAUCUGUUGGUGUCACUCACAUUUUUGCAGUCUGACUGUGGCGCUGGUAAAAGAAGUUUAAACGCGUGUUAAACAGAAAACGACUUUACCGCUGACGAGUCUGUUUCUGGGGCAAAGACAGGAAGUAAAUGGAGCUUUAAACGGCGUCCGGACCGUCUGCCUGUGUUUAAGACAAAUCUUAGCUCCUUUCUCAGAUUUUAUGAACAUAAACUUAAAUCAGCUGUCAGUGACAUCACGCAGCCAGGAGCGGAGAAGAUGUUUGAUCUUCAUCAUCAACAUCAUCGCUCUCUGCUCUGCUGUGUCUGAUUGACAGGCAUCAGUGUGGCGGCCACGCUGAGGUUUACGGGAGACUGAUGAUGUCACCAGUCAGCCCAUAGAGUUAAAUCCACUGUGUUCCCGCUGCCGCUUAGUACUUCCUGCUUGUCUGCAGAUUACUGUCUUAAAAGAAGGACUCAUCCUCCAAUCAGAAGCAGCGGUGCGUCUAAUCCCCUCUUAGUCUGACUAGCAGCCAUCAACCUAUCUCUGAACUAGGACACGUUAUUGAAGUAAUGUGCUACUACUGCCAUAUUUCCAACUUUUGUCAUGACUAGGUUCUUCCUCUUCUCCCACUGAUGAGCUUUUUCUAUGUAACUCAGAGCCAUAUUUUAUAGGUUGUCUGUAUUGAUUUUUUUUUUUUUUUUUUUUUUUUUUUUUUAAAUCUCAUUGUUAUCGAGGUUUGCUUUGGACUUUCUCACCCCUGACCCUUUCUAACCCCGUCCCAACACACACCCUCUCUCCACCCCUGGCCCUUUUACUUCAAACAUGACCAAAAAAGAAACAAAAGAAGAAAAAAAACAAGGAGAAAAAUCUUCAGUCGUCACUGCCGAACCAAGUUUAAAGGACCUCUACAAUGUUUACAUGAAAAGCGAGUCGGUGGCAGUUCGCCUGCGCUUCUCUCAUCCGACCACUUCCCUUUCACUCCCUUGCUUUCCUGAAUCUUAGAGUUACUAUUUAACUAAAUGGGGAAUCUUUCUUGCAUGGUUUUCAUAUAAAAUUCAAUGUUUUGCUCAUUUUUUACAAUUCUUCUGUAUUUUUAUAUUAAGUACUUUUUAAUAUUUUGGAGAUAUAUGAAUAUAUAUGUAUAGGCUGAAGAGUUUGGUGACAGUACCGUACAUGAAUGAGAUGAACCUACCGUGGACUCUGUCUUUUUACAGCUCUCUAAAUAUUUCUGCCACGUGUGUCGUCUUGGUCACCUGACGUUAGGGCUCAGAAACCUGCAGUGACUUGUUUACUUCCUGUCGCCCAAUCAAUUGGAAUCUGAACAGUCUAGUCCCAUCAGCCCCCUUUUACAUGAGUAUAAUCACUUUACCUAAGAUGUUGUGACACACUACACGUUAAGUGAUUUUUCGCAGUUAUCCAACUCCAUUAGAGUUCAGAAAAUGCAUCAGCUAACUGUAUCAAACAUUAAAUGGGAGUGUAUAAUUAUUUAAUAACCUC